rnacentral:rRNA from 1 species
GACAAAUGCCCUGCUUCCAGGAAAAGCCUCUAAGCAUCAGGUAACAUCAAAUCGUACCCCAAACCGACACAGGUGGUCAGGUAGAGAAUACCAAGGCGCUUGAGAGAACUCGGGUGAAGGAACUAGGCAAAAUGGUGCCGUAACUUCGGGAGAAGGCACGCUGAUAUGUAGGUGAAGCGACUUGCUCGUGGAGCUGAAAUCAGUCGAAGAUACCAGCUGGCUGCAACUGUUUAUUAAAAACACAGCACUGUGCAAACACGAAAGUGGACGUAUACGGUGUGACGCCUGCCCGGUGCCGGAAGGUUAAUUGAUGGGGUUAGCGGUAACGCGAAGCUCUUGAUCGAAGCCCCGGUAAACGGCGGCCGUAACUAUAACGGUCCUAAGGUAGCGAAAUUCCUUGUCGGGUAAGUUCCGACCUGCACGAAUGGCGUAAUGAUGGCCAGGCUGUCUCCACCCGAGACUCAGUGAAAUUGAACUCGCUGUGAAGAUGCAGUGUACCCGCGGCAAGACGGAAAGACCCCGUGAACCUUUACUAUAGCUUGACACUGAACAUUGAGCCUUGAUGUGUAGGAUAGGUGGGAGGCUUUGAAGUGUGGACGCCAGUCUGCAUGGAGCCGACCUUGAAAUACCACCCUUUAAUGUUUGAUGUUCUAACGUGGGCCCCUUACCGGGGUUGCGGACAGUGUCUGGUGGGUAGUUUGACUGGGGCGGUCUCCUCCUAAAGAGUAACGGAGGAGCACGAAGGUUGGCUAAUCCUGGUCGGACAUCAGGAGGUUAGUGCAAUGGCAUAAGCCAGCUUGACUGCGAGCGUGACGGCGCGAGCAGGUGCGAAAGCAGGUCAUAGUGAUCCGGUGGUUCUGAAUGGAAGGGCCAUCGCUCAACGGAUAAAAGGUACUCCGGGGAUAACAGGCUGAUACCGCCCAAGAGUUCAUAUCGACGGCGGUGUUUGGCACCUCGAUGUCGGCUCAUCACAUCCUGGGGCUGAAGUAGGUCCCAAGGGUAUGGCUGUUCGCCAUUUAAAGUGGUACGCGAGCUGGGUUUAGAACGUCGUGAGACAGUUCGGUCCCUAUCUGCCGUGGGCGCUGGAGAACUGAGGGGGGCUGCUCCUAGUACGAGAGGACCGGAGUGGACGCAUCACUGGUGUUCGGGUUGUCAUGCCAAUGGCACUGCCCGGUAGCUAAAUGCGGAAGAGAUAAGUGCUGAAAGCAUCUAAGCACGAAACUUGCCCCGAGAUGAGUUCUCCCUGACUCCUUGAGAGUCCUGAAGGAACGUUGAAGACGACGACGUUGAUAGGCCGGGUGUGUAAGCGCAGCGAUGCGUUGAGCUAACCGGUACUAAUGAACCGUGAGGCUUAACCUU